AUACAUUCUUGGCCUUUUGACUAAGAUCAAGUGUAGUAUCUGCUCUUAUCAUUUCUUUUUUUAAAUAAGUAAAAAAAAAUUUCCAAUGUAACUUGAACCUGC
rfam:Nicotiana attenuata strain TT chromosome 12, whole genome shotgun sequence.